AUACUUCAACUAGGGAAGCGACCGGUUGGUUCACCAAACCCCGACCCAGUGUCCCAUGUUCUCCAGGUCUAAAGGGAUCUAAUGCCGAACUAUUGACUCCUCUCGGAAUUACGUUAUUAGAGCCGAGCCAGGAAUGGCCGUUAGUAGGCACCCACUGCUUUUCACCGGUUGGAUAGGCCUUCUUUAAUACAUUAAGAAAAGAUGUUCAAAGGGGCCGG